AUUAGUCAUAUGCCUGCAUAUUAACUUGUAAACACGCUGUGGAAAUCGAGCUUAAUUUGACCAGGUUUGAUGGAGCACAAAUUUUGUAGUAAUUUACCCGCUGGAGAGGCGCGACAAAAUGCUACAAGUUGAGUCUUGUAUUGCGUCAUUGCAAUUAGUCCUUCAAGUCGGUCACGCAUGAUGAACAUCGGUCACAACAAGAUGCAUGUACAAACUGGAUCGAAAUGAUAUACCAUCUACAUCUGGAAGAUGGAUGAACAGUACAG